rnacentral:lncRNA from 1 species
AUGACCUGUUCUCAUCUGUUCGACCUGUUCUCAUCUGUUCGACCUGUUCUCAUCUGUUCGACCUGUUCUCAUCUGUUCGACCUAUCUCACCACACAACCUGUCUCACCUGUACGACCUGUCUCACCUGUAUGACCUCUACAACCUAUCUCACCUGUACGACCUGUCUCACCUGUAUGACCUCUACUACCUGUCUCACCUGUACGACCUGUCUCACCUGUACGACCUGUUCUCACCUGUACGACCUGUUCUCAGCAGUACGACCUGUUCUCAGCAGUACGACCUGUUCUCACCUGUAUGACCUCUACAACCUAUCUCACCUGUACGACCUGUCUCACCUGUAUGGCCUCUACUACCUGUCUCACCUGUACGACCUGUCUCACCUGUACGACCUCUACAACCUAUCUCACCUGUACGACCUGUCUCACCUGUAUGACCUCUACUACCUGUCUCACCUGUACGACCUGUCUCACCUGUACGACCUGUUCUCAGCAGUAAGACCUGUUCUCACCUGUACGACCUGUCUCACCUGUACGACCUGUCUCACCUGUACGACCUGUCUCACCUGUAUGACCUCUACAACCUAUCUCACCUGUACGACCUGUCUCACCUGUACGACCUCUACAACCUAUCUCACCUGUACGACCUGUCUCACCUGUAUGACCUCUACUACCUGUCUCACCUGUACGACCUGUUCUCACCUGUACGACCUGUUCUCAGCAGUACGACCUGUUCUCACCUGUAUGACCUGUCUCACCUGUACGACCUGUCUCACCUGUAUGACCUCUACAACUUAUCUCACCUGUACGACCUGUCUCACCUGUACGACCUGUUCUCACCUGUACGACCUGUUCUCAGCAGUACGACCUGUUCUCACCUGUACGACCUGUCUCACCUGUACGACCUGUCUCACCUGUAUGACCUCUACAACCUAUCUCACCUGUACGACCUGUCUAACCGGUACGACCUGUUCACACCUGUUCGACCUGUUCUCAGCAGUACGACCUGUUCUCACCGGUACGACCUGUUCUCACCGGUACGACCUGUUCUCACCACACAACCUGUCUCACCUGUACGACCUGUCUCACCUGUAUGACCUCUACAACCUGUCUCACCUGUACGACCUGUCUCAUCUGUAUGACCUCUACUACCUGUCUCACCUGUAUGACCUGUCUCACCUGUAUGACCUCUACAACCUGUCUCACCUGUAUGACCUCUCUCACCUUUACGACCCCUACAACCUGUCUCAGGUGUACGACCUGUCUCACGUGUACACCUGUCUCACCUGUACAACCUGUUCCUCCCUGUAA